rfam:Clostridiales sp. SM4/1 draft genome.
AAAAAUACCGUGAAGAGGAGUAGUAGGCUUCUGGAAUCAUCAGAGAGCUGCCGGAGGGUGCGAGGCAGUUGGCAAAGGGAGCUGAACUCGCCUUGGAGUAGCCUGUUGAAGGGGAGUUUGUCUGUUCCCUGUGUAGGCAGAGCCGGGAGCCGCCCGUUAUGCGGUGAGGAGAAAAUGCCGUUUCAGUUUGCCCCUUGACCGGAUGGAUCAGGACAGCAGACAGGCAGAUUCCCCCGUAAGAGCAUGCAGACAGCAUGAAAUAGAGUGGUACCGCGCGAGAGGAUCAAGCCUUGCGUCUCUAUG